rnacentral:rRNA from 1 species
UACGUAGGGUGCGAGCGUUAAUCGGAAUUACUGGGCGUAAAGCGUGCGUAGGCGGUUCGUUGUGUCGGUGGUGAAAGCCCCGGGCUUAACCUGGGAAUGGCCAUGGAAACUGGCGAACUGGAGUGUGGCAGAGGGGGGUGGAAUUCCGCGUGUAGCAGUGAAAUGCGUAGAGAUGCGGAGGAACACCGAUGGCGAAGGCAGCCCCCUGGGCUAACACUGACGCUCAGGCACGAAAGCGUGGGGAGCAAACAGG